rnacentral:rRNA from 1 species
GAACAACAGGGAUGCCCUAGUAACGGCGAGUGAAGCGGCAACAGCUCAAAUUUGAAAUCUGGCUCUUUCAGAGUCCGAGUUGUAAUUUGCAGAGGGCGCUUUGGCUUUGGCAGCGGUCCAAGUUCCUUGGAACAGGACGUCACAGAGGGUGAGAAUCCCGUACGUGGUCGCUAGCUAUUGCCGUGUAAAGCCCCUUCGACGAGUCGAGUUGUUUGGGAAUGCAGCUCUAAAUGGGAGGUAAAUUUCUUCUAAAGCUAAAUAUUGGCCAGAGACCGAUAGCGCACAAGUAGAGUGAUCGAAAGAUGAAAAGCACUUUGGAAAGAGAGUCAAACAGCACGUGAAAUUGUUGAAAGGGAAGCGCUUGCAGCCAGACUUGCUUGCAGUUGCUCAUCCGGGCUUUUGCCCGGUGCACUCUUCUGUAGGCAGGCCAGCAUCAGUUUGGGCGGUGGGAUAAAGGUCUCUGACACGUUCCUUCCUUCGGGUUGGCCAUAUAGGGGAGACGACAUACCACCAGCCUGGACUGAGGUCCGCGCAUCUGCUAGGAUGCUGGCGUAAUGGCUGUAAGCGGCCCGUCUUGAAACACGGACCAAGGAGUCUAACAUCUAUGCGAGUGUUUGGGUGUCAAGCCCGAACGCGUAAUGAAAGUGAACGGAGGUGGGAACCCGCAAGGGCGCACCAUCGACCGAUCCUGAAGUUUACGGAAGGAUUUGAGUAAGAGCAUGGCUGUUGGGACCCGAAAGAUGGUGAACUAUGCUUGAAUAGGGUGAAGCCAGAGGAAACUCUGGUGGAGGCUCGCAGCGGUUCUGACGUGCAAAUCGAUCGUCAAAUUUGGGCAUAGGGGCGAAAGACUA